rnacentral:rRNA from 1 species
GUGAGGAAUAUUGCGCAAUGGAGGCAACUCUGACGCAGCCAUGCCGCGUGCAGGAAGAAGGCGCUACGCGUUGUAAACUGCUUUUAACCGGGAAGAAACCCCAGGACGUGUCCUGGGUUGACGGUACCGGAGGAAUAAGCACCGGCUAACUUCGUGCCAGCAGCCGCGGUAAUACGAAGGGUGCAAGCGUUAUCCGGAUUCAUUGGGUUGAAAGGGUGCGUAGGCGGAGCGUUAAGUCAGUGGUGAAAUCCUGCAGCUUAACUGUAGACUUGCCAUUGGUACUGGCGCUCUUGAGUGCGCUUGAAGUGGGCGGAAUGUGCCGUGUAGCGGUGAAAUGCUUAGAUAUGGCACAGAACACCAAUUGCGAAGGCAGCUCACUAAGGCGAUACUGACGCUGAGGCACGAAAGCGUGGGGAUCGAACAGGAUUAGAAACCCUAGUAGUCC